rnacentral:rRNA from 1 species
GACGCAGCUAACGCAUUAAGUGCCCCGCCUGGGGAGUACGAUCGCAAGAUUAAAACUCAAAGGAAUUGACGGGGCCCCGCACAAGCAGCGGAGCAUGCGGCUUAAUUCGACGCAACGCGAAGAACCUUACCAAGGCUUGACAUAUACAGGAAUAUGGCAGAGAUGUCAUAGCCGCAAGGUCUGUAUACAGGUGGUGCAUGGUUGUCGUCAGCUCGUGUCGUGAGAUGUUGGGUUAAGUCCCGCAACGAGCGCAACCCUCGUUCUGUGUUGCCAGCAUUAAGUUGGGGACUCACAGGAGACUGCCGGGGUUAACUCGGAGGAAGGUGGGGAUGACGUCAAAUCAUCAUGCCCCUUAUGUCUUGGGCUGCACGCAUGCUACAAUGGCUGGUACAAACGGCUGCGAUACCGCAAGGUGGAGCGAAUCCGAUAAAGCCAGUCUCAGUUCGGAUUGGGGUCUGCAACUCGACCCCAUGAAGUCGGAGUUGCUAGUAAUCGUAGAUCAGCAACGCUACGGUGAAUACGUUCCCGGGGCUUGUACACACCGCCCGUCACGUCACGAAAGUCGGUAACACCCGAAGUCAGUGGCCCAACC